GACGGGGAUCCGUGCGAUGACAGGUCGCCCAAUCCCGUCAGGACCGGAAGGUAGCAGCGGCAAGCGAUACUGGCUUGUGCCGCGGUGAACCGUCGUCUG
rnacentral:SRP_RNA from 1 species